rnacentral:rRNA from 1 species
UACGGGGGGAGCAAGCGUUGUUCGGAUUUACUGGGCGUAAAGGGCGCGUAGGCGGCGCAACAAGUCACUUGUGAAAUCUCCGGGCUUAACCCGGAGCGGUCAAGUGAUACUGUCGUGCUAGAGUGCGGAAGGGGCUACUGGAAUUCUCGGUGUAGCGGUGAAAUGCGCAGAUAUCAGGAGGAACACCAAUAGCGAAGGCAGCACUUCUGGUAACGUGGACUGGACGCUGAGACGCGAAAAGCGUGGGGAGCAAACAGG